UUACGGCCAUAUCUCGUUGAAACACCAGUUCUCAUUCGAUCACCGAAUUUAGGCAAUAUCGAACCUGGUCAGAACCUGGAUGGAUGAUCGCCUGGAAAUACCAGGUGAUGUAAG